rnacentral:tRNA from 1 species
GCCGGGAUGGCGGAAUUGGUAGACGCGCCUGACUUAGGAUCAGGUGAGCUAGCUUGUGCAGGUUCGAGUCCUGUUCCCGGUA